rnacentral:rRNA from 1 species
CAGUCUUAGUUCGGAUUGUAGGCUGCAACCCGCCUACAUGAAGUCGGAAUUGCUAGUAAUCGCGGAUCAGCAUGCCGCGGUGAAUACGUUCCCGGGCCUUGUACACACCGCCCGUCACACCAUGGGAGUUGGUAACACCCGAAGUCAGUAGCCUAACCGCAAGGAGGGCGCUGCCGAAGGUGGGAUCGAUGACUGGGGUGAAGUCGUAACAAGGUAAC